UACACAUCAAGCGAUCACUUCUCAUUCUCCCAUUGCUCCAGCCCCUGGGAACCAUUGCUUUGCUUUCUGACCUUAUGGAUUUACCUGUUCUCGACAUUUCCUAUAAAUGGGAUUAUAUAAUACAUGAGCUGUUGUGUCUGGCUUCUUUCACUUCUCAUGAUGUUUUCCCUCCAUCCACAUCGUAACAUGUCUCGGUUCUGCACUUCUCCCUUCAUUUCUGGAAUGAAAACAUUUCAGGGUACUCACAUACCCUCUCUUGUUUACCCAUCUC
rnacentral:lncRNA from 1 species